UACAAGUGUUGAAGAUGAGGAACACGCAGUAGACACUAAAUAUAAAUGUAACAUCUGUUUUUGGUUAUCUGUUUUUCUUUUCCUUUUUUCUUUAAAUUAUUUUUUUUUCGUAGACAAAUAACAAGAAGCUGUAAAACAUCUACCAAAAUUUCUGAAACGUUCUUCGUGCAUUGAUGAAACUUAAGCAGUUAAACACAGGUCUUUAGAUAGAUCUUUGGAUUUGACAAAUCAUGAAAACAAUAUCCCAAAUCUUUCAACUAGCAGUACACUUGGAAAAGUUUUUGGAACUAAUUUUGUAGAGGAAUUUAGUAGUACUUUUCCACCUCAAAAGGACGGAGUUUCUUAUGAAAUAAAUAAAUUUUCACUUUCAGAUGCAGAGUUUCAAUUCAAACUAUUUCGCUAUUGACAAAAAUAAGAAAUGCAUUUGUCAGCAAAAAAGACAAAAAGUUUAUUCUUAGUGAAUCAGUAAAAAGACUAGAAACUUUAAUUGAAGUUAAAGAGUUUGAUCGUAAAAUAAAAUAAGAAAAAUCUUCUUAUUUAGAAUUGGUUGAGAAAUUAUCUAAAAUUGGUGAACUAAGUGUAAAAGAAGCUGUUAAAAAUAUAUUUAAAAGGUUGCUAAUUUUUUAGCAUAUUGUUGUAUUGAAAAUAUAUUUAUAAACAUUUUUUGCGAAAACAGUAAAUUUAAAUAUAAAUGUUUAAUGUGCGUGAAUACUACACAUUCUGUCGUGUGUUAUUUUGUUUGUAGUGUUUUUUAGCUAUGAAGCUUUGGCCCUUUUUAAUAUGAAGGGACAAAAUAAAAGGAGAGCAAUAUCAAGCGGCCCAAAAAGUCUUCAUUUCAACAACUAAAGUUGUGUGAGGUUGUGACAGAUGCUGUUCUUAUCAUCCAUGGAGACACUACACAAGAUCAUGUUAAAAAAGAAAUUAUGCAUGUUUUAAAAUAUGGUCUCGAAAAAGCAGGUCAAGGUCGUCGGAGAUCAUCAAUUGUUGCUUCAUCUAAUUACCCUUGUGCAAACAAUGAAACAUCAGGUUAUGUUUCGGAAUCGGAAUGAUUUGUAAUAAUAAUGUUUGGGGAAUAUCCAUGUAUAUACAUUUGUAGAGUUGUUAUUAGA